AAACUCACAUUAGAGAGAUAGGAACCAGAUUAGAGAGAGAGAUAGGAACCAGACGAUCCAACCAUGGAAGUUCAUAUGACUGACUGACUAUGUAGUUGGCUUGUUAAGGAAGAAGACAAGAAGAAGAGAUUCAGAUCUGAGAUUGGUAUGUUUCUUAUAUUUGUGAGAACCUAAUAGCUAGUAGAAACACUUUGAAUCAAAUUAGCUUAUAUGGGCCAAUAGUUCAAUCCAUUUUUGAAUUGGUUGGGGUUGUAAUGUGAACCAGUUGUCAAGUUAAGUUGUUAGAGUUUUGAAGGGAUGUUGGAACUACACAAUCUGGAUAUUGUUUUCUGUGAAUUCAUCUAGUUUUUGGUGGUUAACUAUUACGGAAAUGGAUGGUUAAUGUUAUGGACCAGAUGAGCUUAGGAGCUAGCUAGGUUACUGAAUCUUGUUUUGAUUCUACAAGUAAUUCAUGUAGUUCUUUAUUCAUGGCAUGUACGGAUACAUUCAAACUGAUCACAUAUCAGGUCUUGGUUAUGUGGGUUGAUAGGUGAACACAAAGGGUGUACAAGGUUAAUCAAUAGCCACCAGAUUUUUUUAUGGUAUUUGAUGCUUAGGUAAUUAACCAUUGAGUGCAACUGAGAGUGAUAUAUUACGUGUAUGGAGGCGCACAAACUGGCCGUGUACUGUGUAUUAGUUUCUUGGGUGAAAGAUACAAGGAACUCGAUUAGGCAGCAACUAAGGAAUCUGUUGUAGAUUGCGAGAAGUGGACAUUGACAAAUUUGGGUGUUUGGAUUUGAACGGGAUACUCAGGAGUGCGGCUGAGGUAGGGACUUACAUUUCUUCCUUUCAUGUUCAUAUUUCAAACAUUGGAAAUUAUUUGAUAUAUCAUUGAUGAUAAAAAUGCAUGCAUGGUUUUGUUUGGUAUAUAUAAAUUACUCAUGGUUUACCGAUUAUCGUUUCUAUUAAAGUGAUUAGUUACAAAUAUCAUGUUUUAAACUGGAGUUGUUAAAGCAGUAUAUACAUAUGUAUAUACAUUGAAAAUUGUUUAUAAAUGGAAAAACUAUCAAAGUUUUUAUUGCAUCUCUUUUCUACAAAGGGAAAGGGAGGAUGGAUUUUGUAUGUGGGAUGUGGGAUCCCGGUUGUAUGUUGGUAUUGUGUGAGGUCCUUGGAUUGGGAAAAGAUUAUGAUCUGGGUGCUUACACGAACAAAUUAUUAUAGAUUGGAUUAUAAUCCCUUCGGCUAGUGCUUGUGUCUGGUAGCCGUGAAUAGGGGAAUAGGGGAUAGUUCCUUUAGCUAGUUCUCGUGUCUGAUAGCCGUGAAUAAGGAACUGGCUUGAUGGUUGAUAAAUUCAGGGACUCGUCACACAUGCCAGAUUAAAUUAACUAUUAUUAAAAGACACCCUAUAUAUUAUAUAUAUUGUAUCACGAGGCGGUCUGGCAAGGGAUCUGUGAAUUCCUACAAAGAAGGAAUUGUUGUCAUAUUCUAGAGAUGACAGUUCUUUAUAGGAUUGCAUAUGCCAUGUUCACCUUUUGAUUGUGAAUGGGACUUUCUAGAGGCGAAUAUUGUAGGAUAUUUCCGGGAAUUCCUCUUCUACCUUCCUAGAUUGCCAUGCUUUUAGUGGUAUUUGUUGUGGAUGGUUGCUACCUCGAGGAGGUUAGACGCGGAGAGUGAGAGGUAUAGUCCACUCCUGAACGUGUGUCAGGAUCCUGACCAGUAUGCAAUCGUCAAACGGUUGACCACCGUGAUAGGUGAUUCCCCCCUCAGGGAGUCGUGGUCAGAGGGCCCACCUGAGCCUUAAAAUAGGGUUAGUGUUCUCGGGACACAAACGGUAAUCACCCGACCGGAUAGUCAGGAACUUACGGUGCAGGUUCACACCGAUAACUACUGAACUAAGAUAUUGCCUAGGAUUGGGGCCGAGUACCAGUCGUACCUUCAUCACUCUGAUAGGAUACAGGUACCCGACUUAUUGUAUGAUUGAUUUUAUAUUAUUUAUUAUUUACAAUAGAAAGUUACUUUCAAUUAUUAAAACUUGCAUUAUUUCAACUGUUUAGUAUGGUUAAUCGUCAUGCAUGAUUAGAUAGUAUCUUGGGAAUGUAAGUCACUACUGAGCAAGUGGAAAUGCUCACCCUAUCAUUAACUGAUUUAACCCUUUUCAGAUAAACAAUUGUUUGGGGAUAUGUUGAUUGAGCGGAUGAGUUUUAUACAAAGACUACAUAAUGUACAGUGCGUUUCGUAUGUUAUAUGUAAUUGCUUCAUUAUGUAUAUAUAUAAAGACAGGUGACUCUUAGUUAUUCAUAUAAAAUUUUGUAUUAAUACAAGUUAUAUUUAUGAAUAUCAUUAAGAAUUUUGUAUUAUUAUAUUAUUAUCAUGGGUUAGGUUGUUCAUCAUUCCUCGGGAUCUGAUAUAGAGUCAUUGGGAUUCAUGUUACGAUUUUGGGGUAUUAUGAUUUUGGGGCGUUACAUGAAUCCAAAUUAAUAACAACAUGAAUUAACAUGAAUGUAAUGUACAAGCUGUAUGAAUAUGUGAUGGAGAAAGGGAAGUCUUGGUUAGGUGUAAGUUUAUAUAUAUAUAUAUAUAUAAGUUAUAAGGGACAAGGCAAUCUCAACUUGAGGAGAUAAGUUUAUAUAAAUUUCGACAGUUGACGGACCAGAUUGUAAGUUGGAGGUCGAAAUUAGAUCUGGGCCUUAGAGUUUCCUCGAUCACAGCAAAUCUAAUUUUGACAUAAGUUUAAGAUGCGGGCCAAGUUAAAAUCAUCGGAUGGGCUUAAGUUAUAGGCUUCGGUUGGUAAAGUUUUGGUCCAAAAAUAAAAUAGAUAAAUAAAAACGAUGAACAAAACAAUCUCCCACCUUGCUCUCUUUCUCUGACCUCGAUCUUUUUCUCCAAAACCCUCCUUUUGUAAGUUUUUCUAAUUCUUCUCUUUUUCUUCAGAAAGUUUUAAUCAAUUUCAAUCAGCCCUACAUCUACAUCUCAAGUACUAUGCAGUAUGUAUAUCAACUUUGCUUUGUUAUGAAUUUAAUUAUGUUAAAAAUUGAAUUUUUACACCUUUCUAUUGUCCUCCUUCUCUCUCUUUUGAUUUAUUAGGUCUGAUAGAAAGAAAUUAAGGUCUUGGGUAAUCCUCUUUACCAGCUUAAGGUUUCUGCGAAUCCUCUUACAUUAAAGGU
rnacentral:lncRNA from 1 species